CGCCCUUUGUAUUUAUAGGGAUGAUCAAGCAGAGGAGGAGGCCGGAAGGAAAGGGGGAUCAAGCAGAGGAGGAGCCCACAGUGAGCCUUACACGCUUACAUUAUUGCCUCCAAGCAGGAACAGCGGCUAGGCAGCACCUGAAAACUGGUAUUGCUGAUCCAUAUCUGAAUUUCUGGAUGAAAACGAGAGCUUUGCUUGUCUAAAUUCUCUGAAUACUGGAUAGGAAGAGGAAUGCCGGAUAUACACAAGCAGUAAACAACGGCCUGGUCUUUCUGCAUUCAAACCUGUUUCCCACGGGCAGUUGGCCUUGCUGGCUUUCAAUUCACACGUGUCAAUCAGCUGGGGAAAACAGCAAUCCAUGCCUGCGAUGGGGAAUGCAUUUGUACUCCUCCGUCCCAAAAAAAAAAAAAGGCAAACCCUGAGUUUCCGUGUCCAACUUUAACUGUCCGUUUUAUAUAUUUUUUUAUAAUUCGUAUUUUCAUUGUUGUUAGAUGAUAAAACAUGAUUAAUAUUUUAUGCGUGACUUGUCUUUUUAAUUUUUUUCAUAUUUUUUUCAAAUAAGACGGACUGUCAAACAUUGGACACGGAAACCAGGUUUGUCUUUUUUUAAGGACGGAGGGAGUAGUAUCUAUCGCUGACAUGUGAGACUGGGCCCACCUGUCAACCACAGUGCAGAUAGGAUCAUUGUCCCCAUGCCUGGGCCAGCUGCAUGCAAAGGUGGUUUCAGGCUUUCAGCUUCAGGCAGGCCAGUGUGAUGAACUUCAAAUCAUAUAUUUCGAAGAAAACAAAAAGGCAGAUGAUGCCUAUUAUCGAUCUUGCUUGUUUUAAAUUUAAAGCGAGCAAAAAGUUGGUGAGGCUUGCUUGCUUUCCCUACCAUUUUUUCAGAUAAUUAAAUAAAUAUUCUAGACACUGCAUAUUAUGAUGCAUUUAGCCGUUGCUUUCUUACAACCUGGAGCUCUUGUUUGG